GUGGGGAGGAUAAACGAAUGGACCAGUUGCCUAUCCUCCCUCCCUGGCACCCCUGGGAAAAUAGGUCUGCAGCCAGAAAACUGAAGGUCAGAGAGGAGUUGAAACUGGUUGACAACCAUUAACCUGGGUUGCAACUACAGGUGGCACUGGAAGCAGACUGGUUCCUGGACAUGCCCGGUGGAAGGAGGGGCCCUAGUCGGCAACAGCUAAGCCGUUCAGCUUUACCUUCUUUGCAGACUUUGGUUGGUGGAGGCUGUGGCAAUGGAACAGGCUUGAGAAACAGGAAUGGUAGUGCUAUUGGCCUUCCAGUCCCACCUAUCACAGCCUUAAUCACCCCAGGUCCUGUUCGUCAUUGCCAAAUUCCUGACUUGCCUGUGGAUGGGAGCCUACUCUUUGAAUUCCUUUUUUUCAUCUACCUGUUGGUUGCUCUUUUCAUUCAGUACAUCAACAUUUAUAAAACAGUGUGGUGGUAUCCUUACAAUCAUCCUGCUUCUUGUACAUCACUGAAUUUUCAUCUCAUUGAUUAUCAUCUGGCAGCAUUCAUCACAGUGAUGCUUGCGAGGAGGCUUGUAUGGGCUCUCAUCUCAGAG
rnacentral:lncRNA from 1 species